UUCCCCUUUUUGCUCCCGCGACGUCGUUUCCUUUUCUUCCCCGAACUCCUCAUCUCCUCCAAACCGACGUCGCCAACGACUCUUCCUCUCCUCCCCCAUGUACAAAAGAAAUUGGCCAAGACAAGUCCGAGCCUCUUCCUUGCGUCGUCUCCUUCCCCUCGCUCCUAUGCCCUAGAGCUCGAGCCACUGUCAGCCGAGACUACCCUCUGCCCUAGCGUCGGCCACCUCUGCUCUCAGCCCCCUCCCAUCGUGUCGAUUAGCGAACACUGAGCAUCGACGCCGGCUGUUCGAGCCCUAGCAUCGAGUUUCUCCAGCGUCGGCAAUCGUCCAAUCUCCUCUGCCCUAGCGUGGAUCGCGCUGCCGCGAGCUUGCUUCUUCCUCCUCUUUGCCGAGUCGUGCCUUCCCCUCUUUGCCCUAGCCAUCUCCGAUACUUCCCUUCUACAGUGUCCUUCUCUUGACACCAUCCUUGUGCCCUAGCACCGGUCAGCUAGCUGUCAAGUGCUAGUAGCCACCUUGUUAUCGGCCUGAGUCUUUGGCAUUAGGGCUUCCAGCAGCAGCUUUGCCAGGUCCUUGGUCAUCGCAGGCAGUUAAAGGAAGAGUGAAUUGCAAGGCGUUACUUGGGUUUCUAGCAGCUACCUCUAUUCUGGCAGCAACUUGCUUUGUUUCAGCAUCAACAGCAACUGAAUUAAGGUUGAGGUUGUCCGGAGGAGUUCCAGACGCUAGUCCCCCACCACUGCGUGUCACGACGAGUUCGUACAUUUCAGUUUUCUUAUUAUGUGAGACCAUGUUUUUCAUACUUGUAGCUUUUGGCAUUUGUAUCUUAUACGUUUUGUUAUGUGUCGAUGGGUUUUUAUUUGAAUGUAUGCUGGAGUUUUGUGUUUUAUGGAUGUAGUUGAGUAGGAUAUCGGAUUUGUGUUUUAUGGGUGUAGUUGAGUAGGAUU